rnacentral:pre_miRNA from 1 species
AUAGUACUCCCUCCGUUCCAAAUUACUUGUCGUAGGUAUGGAUGUAUCUAGAUGUAUUUUAGUUCUAGAUACAUCCAUUUCUGCGACGAGUAAUUUGGAACGGAGGGAGUAGAUA